rnacentral:lncRNA from 1 species
GUUGACCUCUCAAAUUAUCACAUUUGAACAUGAAGGAAAUUGGAGUAAAGCUCUUGAGUACUAUGAUUUACAAAUUAGAUCUGAUCCAGUAGCUCAAGGAUGCAGUUAUUCUCCUGAGAAUUUUCUUCAUUCAUCUGGUUCAGUAGUAGAUCAGAUGAUUGAAAAGAAACCAUAUAAGGGCCUUAUUAGAUCCUUGCAGCAAAUUGGUUGCACUCAUCUUUUGGAUGUGUACUGCCAAGGAUUGACCUCUCAAAAGGGAAGGUUUCAACAUGAUCCAGAGUUUACCGAGCUACAGGUUUGCCUCCUAUCUUCUCCUUUUCUGCUAACCGGUAAGGAAAGUAGACUCAAUUUUUGGAAUAGAGGAGCAUUACAGGUAAAUGACACGAAGGUGUAAAGCAAUAAUAUUGCCAAUAAUCUUUAAGUUGCAUUCAUCUUUUGGAUGUGUGCUGCCAAGAUUUUGCUUUUUCAUACUAACUAUUAAGUUCCCUUUUUUUGGACAAGGACUUAAUUUGUCUUUUAUAAAACUCUACUUAUAUAACAUGAAGAAGAAUGGAGAGAAACUAGGAAAUAGUGCCCCAUUGGUGUACAAUAGUUUGGUAGCAGCAACCAAUUUUACUGUCUUAAUAAUAUAAGAUUUUUUUUGGUUUCCCACCCGGGAGGCCGACUAAAUCCGGAUUUGUGUUGGGAAGUCCCACAUUGGUGGGGUAAAGCGCUCCCUAACAAUGGCGACUCCGAACCCAGGGGACUCGAAUCGGAGACCUCUGGUUAAGGAUGAAGGAGUACUUACCACUUCAGCAUAAUCCUUGUUGGUAAUAAUAUAAGAUUGCUGUCUCACAUCUGUCUGGCUUAUAAGCUUAGAUAAUAGUGCCUCAUUGGUGUGCAAAACCGUGAUACUAGUGACCGAACCUAAAAAAUUGUUCACAUGCUAAGGAUAGGAGUAGAUGGAGAAUUGUCCCAGCUUGUAUAUCGUGGACAAUUUGGAAGGAGAGGAAUUCCAGAUGUUUUGAGAGCAUAGAGAAUGAUGUGCAGAAGAUCAAGUUGAACUUCAUCUUAUUGCUAUGCAUGAUUGAAAAGAAACCAUAUAAGGGCCUUAUUAGAUCCUUGCAGCAAAUUGGUUGCACUCAUCUUUUGGAUGUGUACUGCCAAGGAUUGACCUCUCAAAAGGGAAGGUUUCAACAUGAUCCAGAGUUUACCGAGCUACAG